rnacentral:lncRNA from 1 species
AGAAACAGGCAGCCUGACUAGAGAACAAACUACCAAUUAACGAGCGAGGAAACAGGGCCAGAGAAUUGGAACAAAAUACAAGGCUGCCUCUGAAAGGAAUAUCUUUGUGCUGAUGUGUCCAUCAAGAGAACAUACACAGAAGUGACACUUGCCAGUAAUUUGCAAGCAGAUGGAACUUCAAUAUGGCAAUAGAGAAAGAAUCAAUUAGACCAGAGUCUCCUCAGGAAGACUUUCUAUAGAUAUCUGGUGAGCAUCUGCUAGAUGCCAGGGUUGGGGAGAGUCAAGUUGAAGCAAGCAUGAACCCUCAAGGACCUACCAUUUCAAGGCAAGAAAUAGAUACAAAUACAGUUGAGAGCCAUCUGUGAAGUUAAUUUCAGCACUGUUUACUCUUUCCUCCUAAAUCACUAAUGAAGAUGAAACAUUCAAUGGAAUUGAGCUUUGCACCCCUUUCUGGGAAAUUCCACCGAGGCUUGCUCUUGUUUCAGAAAAUAUUUACUGGAUAGCUACUAGACAUAAGGAUGCAGAAAUGAAUUAGAAAAAUUCCUCGCCCUUGUUCAAAGCUAUGCUGGCUCUUAGAACAUCUGAGCCCCCACUGUUUCAUCUUUAGAGGAUCCCAGCUGCUGGGGUGUGAGGCCAGUGCUGGAGCCAGCAGUCUCUGACCCAGAAGGGACCUGAGGUGCUAAAGAAAAGGGUACAAGCUGGAAAAGGGGAAAAUGAAUCAUGCUACAGGCCAAGUGUCCAUCACUGAUUCCCAGAGAUGCCCUUUGUGUGGUAGGCACUUCCAUGUGGACUCGCUACAGAGUUUGGAGUUCCUGAACAACAUGGACAGUGUUAAUUUGGAUUCCAUGCUUCAUGGCACAGAAUUGGAGCACUAACUACUCAGUGAUGACUUUCUCUUCCUCUAGCUAAGGUGAUCAACAAGUUUCCUUGUUCUUUCUCCAAGUAGUAGAAGAAAGUAAAGGUCAUAAGACCCUAAUUCCAGAGGGCCCUACCCUAUAACCAGAAGGAAGAACUAUUGCACAGAGAAUCUAAGAAGAAUCUAGACAGACAGCCCUUGCUGGAUUUCUCCACUCUGUUAGCAUUCGAUCAUUUGCCUUUUGUCCAGUCAUAUUUCUGCAUGGCUGUCCAUACUUUGUUGAACCUAAGCACAAAAUGGAAAGUUUUCCCUGUAUCUUUGGGUCGUCAUUCUGAAGGCUCCCAUGUUAUGUAAAACUAUGAUCAAAUAAAUAUGCAUGCCUUUUCUCCUAU